GGGACCCGUCACGCACAGCUUUCCUGACUUUCUUCCUCAUUCACCUGCGACAGGGCUUGUACCUCAGAUGGAAACUUCAGAGCAGAGCUCCUGAGAAGUUUGUGUGAGGGAGAGAAAGGGGCUCUCCCUGACGUAUUUGAGAAACGCGGCUUUCUUAUCCAGUCGGAAAAACUUAGCAGAGUACUAGAGAACACCUGAGAGACUAUUAAAUAAGUCUUUUCUGCUCUUUCAGUUUCUCUAUAUGCCUCAAGAUAAUUUAUUUUUCUCUAUAUGCCUCAAGUUAAUUUAUCUUCCAUAGAAAAGAAAAAAUUUCCAGAUGCAGCCAGAAUUGAGAACUGCCUCCUGCCAUAUUUGUGGUUUGUGUUCCUUUUACUUUCUCCAGUAUCUCUAGCAUCUCAAGGUACCAGAGAUACUGUCAGGCGGAUAUGCAGAGACAGCGCAGCUGACUGAACUCAAUAAGGAC
rnacentral:lncRNA from 1 species